UCAAUCUAGAAUUCUGUCCCCAGGCAACCAAGUAUGAAGAUAGACAAGAUAUUUCACACAUGGAAGCUUACAAAAAUUUACCUUCCAGGUACCCUUUUUCAGGAAAGCUACUAGAGUAAGAGUUUAACCCAAAUGAGAGAGGGAAUAAUUAAGCAGCGGCCACGGGAUAAAGGAAACAUGAGAUCCAACUCAAGAGAAGCAAAGAAAAUUCUUAGUAAUGGAAGAAGAUCCCAGAUGAUAUUUGUGCACUAGGACAGUAAUACCCCUGAAAACUAUGCACCGGUCUUGGCUUUGUGGUAUGAAACAGAUUCGAAGUGUCUAUUUUUGUGCCGCAGCUCAGAGACAUUAAACACUGGUAAAACACUAAAAUGCUGGUAAGACAAAAAGGAAAACAAAGAAGACAUGAGAACAAAAAGGAAAAAAGUUAUAAGAAGAGAAAGGAUAAUGAAAAAAAGAAGCUAUCUAUCGGGCACUGAAUUACAAUGCAGUGAAAUUUUUGCUUUAUUAUACUGAAGGACAACAAACUCACCGCUUCCCAAAUUUUAUUUUACUUCUUUCUCUUAAUGUUAAGUACUGCCACCUGACAAAUGAAUCAUAGUAAGGAUUAACAUCAGUGGUGAUGAAGGAGCGACGCCAGUCGACCUACAGAAAAGAAAAUACAUGAUUUUUGAGAAAUGUGUAUAGUUUCUAUGAAUAAAAACUCCCACCAAUUA